UACAGAGGGUGCGAGCGUUGUUCGGAAUUACUGGGCGUAAAGGGCGCGCAGGCGGCUCGACAAGUCAGAUGUGAAAGCCCCGGGCUCAACCUGGGAAUGGCAUUUGGGACUGUCGGGCUAGAGUUCGGGGGAGGUGGGUGGAAUUCCCAGUGUAGAGGUGAAAUUCGUAGAUAUUGGGAAGAACACCGGUGGCGAAGGCGGCUCACUGGACCGAGACUGACGCUGAGGCGCGAAAGCGUGGGGAGCAAACAGG
rnacentral:rRNA from 1 species